rnacentral:rRNA from 1 species
GACGAACGCUGGCGGCGUGCCUAAUACAUGCAAGUAGAACGCUGAAGGAGGAGCUUGCUUCUCUGGAUGAGUUGCGAACGGGUGAGUAACGCGUAGGUAACCUGCCUGGUAGCGGGGGAUAACUAUUGGAAACGAUAGCUAAUACCGCAUAAUAGCAGUUGUUGCAUGACAACUGUUUGAAAGGUGCAAUUGCACCACUACCAGAUGGACCUGCGUUGUAUUAGCUAGUUGGUGGGGUAACGGCUCACCAAGGCGACGAUACAUAGCCGACCUGAGGGGGUGAUCGGCCACACUGGGACUGAGACACGGCCCAGACUCCUACGGGAGGCAGCAGGAGGGAAUCUUCGGCAAUGGACGGAAGGCUGACCGAGCAACGCCGCGUGAGUGAAGAAGGGUUUCGGAUCGUAAAGCUCUGUUGUAAGAGAAGAACGAGUGUGAGAGUGGAAAGUUCACACUGUGACGGUAUCUUACCAGAAAGGGACGGCUAACUACGUG